rnacentral:tRNA from 1 species
UAGCUCAGUUGGUAAAGAAUCUGCCUGCAAUGCAGGAGUCCCUGGUUCGAUUCCUGG